ACAAUCGAAUAAUUUUUCGCCUAUAUAAUGUCAAAAUGUGGUUGACGAGUAUCUACCCAACGCCGUAAACGUUGGACUAUAGGAUUCUUUUAAUCAUUG
rnacentral:ncRNA from 1 species